CGCGUGUGCGUGUCCUACUCCUUCCUUAUCCAGUCUCCGCUGCAUGUCUCGAUCCUUCGAUAUCACGCAUCCUUCUCUGCUUAUUAGCCGCCGGCCGCCUCAUGACACCUUCAUCUCCUUCUGCUGCCCUCGUUCGCCUUGCCGCCGGUCGAACCAUGCGACGCCGUCGACCUACUGGCUACUGCAGAGGGCACUGAUUCAAGGCACACCCAACGUCAUCUAUGAUUAGAGGAAAAAAUUCUGCAUGGACUCCGUGAAACCGAGGAGGAACUGAUCAGAUUAAAAGAGAAGUAUGAUGCCCAGUUGUAUGGAAAUAUUUCAUACAUUUAGGACUACUGUCAUGGGAAGAUUGAUGGAAAUAUUACCAAGAAAAUGAAUAUACUGCACAAUGUAUUCAUUUUCUAAGCUUACUGCAGUAUAUUCAGAACAAGGAAAAGGGCAGAUUACUGCAGUGUAUUCAGAACAAGGAAAACGGCAGUUGUCCAACUUUUCUCCACGUUAUCUAUGGUAUGGGCUCAGUUUAAGUUUGAACCCUUUUAUUUUAUAUUUUUCGUAGUUGACAGUUUGCUACUCAUCUUUGUGCACUAAGCCUUGAUGGAUAGUACAUCCACAUGUCCUCCUCUGUUUAAGUAUCUUGCUUAUAAAUCCAAACAAAUUAGUCAGUGCUGACUGUGUUAUCUUCCCAACUAUUCUGCAAUUUGCAUAUGCUGAACUGACUAAAUAUGCCUAUUUGUCCAAGGUCUGAACAACAUGUUUGAGAUUUUAAACCACAAAAAUUGUCAUUCUCUAUUUUUUAUUCACUUAAUGUACCUUAUAAGGUUUCAUGCAUAGUUUCUUUUUGUUGCAACAAAUUCUGUUUUCAACUCGACAAUUUGGAUCUCGGUACUUAUGUGUAUAAUCACUCAUGCUCUAUUCAGCCUAAUGCUUUGAGCAAAAAGAAUUGGUACUCACUUUGGCAAACAGAGAGAAAGGAAUAUGUUUUUUUUGUUGAUAUUGGAGCUCCAUCACCCACUGUCAAGUAUUGCAAGCAAGCAACUAAAGCAACUACAGUGGCCAAUAAUGCAUAUAUGAAGAUUGAUUUACAACAACAGCUCCAACAUUUGUACAUAAUCUUUCAUAUUGUGUCUCUUUCCGAAUCCCCGUUAGUGUGUUUAUAUACAUUAAUAUUCCUGCAAG